rnacentral:rRNA from 1 species
UACGGAAGGUCCGGGCGUUAUCCGGAUUUAUUGGGUUUAAAGGGAGCGCAGGCGGGGAGGUAAGCGUGACGUGAAAUGUAGCCGCUCAACGGCUGAACUGCGUCGCGAACUGCCUCUCUUGAGUGAGUACGACGUCAGCGGAAUUUGUGGUGUAGCGGUGAAAUGCUUAGAUAUCACGAAGAACCCCGAUUGCGAAGGCAGCUGACGAGUCCUUUACUGACGCUAAAGCUCGAAGGUGCGGGUAU